rnacentral:rRNA from 1 species
AUUGAACGCUGGCGGCAGGCCUAACACAUGCAAGUCGAGCGGAUGACGGGAGCUUGCUCCUUGAUUCAGCGGCGGACGGGUGAGUAAUGCCUAGGAAUCUGCCUGGUAGUGGGGGACAACGUUUCGAAAGGAACGCUAAUACCGCAUACGUCCUACGGGAGAAAGCAGGGGACCUUCGGGCCUUGCGCUAUCAGAUGAGCCUAGGUCAGGAUUAGCUCGGUGGUGGGGUAAUGGCUCACCAAGGCGACGAUCCGUAACUGGUCUGAGAGGAUGAUCAGGCACACUGGAAAUGAGACACGGUCCAGACUCCUACGAGAGGCAGCAGUGGGGAAUAUUGGACAAUGGGCGAAAGCCUGAUCCAGCCAUGCCGCGUGUGUGAAGAAGGUCUUCGGAUUGUAAAGCACUUUAAGUUGGGAGGAAGGGCAGUAAGUUAAUACCUUGCUGUUUUGACGUUACCGACAGAAUAAGCACCGGCUAACUCUGUGCCAGCCGCCGCGGUAAUAC